rnacentral:lncRNA from 1 species
GUUGUUAUAGAGAACAUGGAUGCUACUGAGGUGAGUUCAUUAAACUUCCCCCAUUGAUUUUUUUCUUUUAUUUUUUGGGCUUUUCAAGUCUUUAAUAGUUGUUGUAGCUUUGCAAUGCUUCUAAUCUGUUGAUUUCAUUUGCAAAGAGUUGAGCAUUAUGGAAUAAUGUACUGUUCCUUUGCAGGAUCAAUUUGACUGCAUUGAUUUGUCUGACAAUGAGAUAGGUAAGCUUGAAAAUUUUCCCUAUCUAAAUCGACUUGGUACUUAGUUGCUAAACAACAAUAGAAUUACCCGUAUCAAUCCUAGCAUUUGGGUUAAAAUUUUGUGCAAACUCUUUGAGAAUUGAAAAGGAAGGGAUUACUCUAAUUAGGAGAUGCAAGUAGAUGUCUUAAUUUGGUUCAACUGUACAAAUUUGAUCUGUCUACUUCCAUUAUUUUAGAAAAUAGAAAAGCACUCUUUUUUGUUUUCUGUGUUUUUUAUUUAUUAAUUUUUUUUGUUGCUAAUUAUGUUUUUUUUAUUUUGUCUUUCGUUUCUCUUUUUUAACUGAGAGUUAAAUCAAAACAAGAAAAGAAAUUUUGAGCCGAAUUUUCAAUCACCACCUAGAAACUGCAAUUGAGAUCAUGAUUGUUAUAUAAUUUAAUUCGAACUCUGAUAGUGGUAUAUGUCUGAUGGAUCAGUUUCUCUUGUAGGGACUUACUGAGAAGUUCAAGGAGAAGGACAUUGCAUACUUGUUCAAGGCUUUAUUCGUUCAAGAUUCUAGCACUCGUCUGUUUGAUGCUUUGGAGCAUUGUGGACUUGCAUUUGGAUAUACUAUAAGGUUGCAUAAGGAUUCUGUUUUUGUUAUGUGCUAACCCUGAUCAGUGUCAUCAAAAUUCAGAAGCUCCUACUUGGGAAUUAUUCCUUGAUUUUGCUACUUUGGAAUUUCUUUGUAACCAUCUCCGUGCAAGAAGAUGCUUAAAUAGGAAAAAUUUGUAAUUAUAAUUUGGAAGAUGUAAUGAAGCAAAGAUAUUAGCGCAAUAUUUGUUUGAUGCAUUUCUAUCUCAUUUUGGUACAUAUUGGCAUGUGCUCUUGUAUUGAAAAUCCCUCUUCACUGAAACAUCACCCUGGUCCAUAUAAAAUGAAAGCAAAUAUACUAGUUUUAUAUAUCACGCUAGCAUUUUGCACAUCACUGUCGAAUUUGGAGAUGGGGUAUGUCGAGCCUCUGAUCAUGUAAUAGAUAACUUGUG